UACGUAGGGUCCGAGCGUUGUCCGGAAUUACUGGGCGUAAAGAGCUCGUAGGUGGUUUGUCGCGUUGUUCGUGAAAACUCACAGCUUAACUGUGGGCGUGCGGGCGAUACGGGCAGACUUGAGUACUGCAGGGGAGACUGGAAUUCCUGGUGUAGCGGUGAAAUGCGCAGAUAUCGGGAGGAACACCGGUGGCGAAGGCGGUUCUCUGGGCCUGUACUGACGCUGAGGAGCGAAAGCGUGGGGAGCGAACAGG
rnacentral:rRNA from 1 species